rnacentral:lncRNA from 1 species
CCACAUUUUUCCAAUCCAGUCUGUUAUCAAUGGGCAUUUUGGUUGAUUCCAGGUCUUUGCAAUUGUAAACAGUGCUGCAAUGAACAUUCGUGUACCUGUGUCCUUAUAGUAGAACGAUUUAUAGUCUUUUGGAUAUAUACCCAGUAAUGGGAUUGCUGGCUCAAAUGGAAUUUCUAUUUCUAAGGCCUUGAGGAAUCGCCACACUGUCUUCCACAAUGGUUGAACUAAUUUACACUCCCACCAACAGUGUAAAAGUGUUCCUUUUUCUCCACAUCCUCUCCAGCAUCUGUUGUCUCCAGAUUUUUUAAUGAUCUUCAUCACCAAUAGACUUCUAUUUCCAGAAAUUACAAAUGGAAGUUCUUUGGCUAAAGGAAAUAAUUCCAGAUGGAAGCAUAAAAUAGUAGUGAGAAAGGAAGAGCACCAUACAGGUGGGUAACAAGAGCAAAACUCCAUCUAAAAAAAAAAAAUUAGAAUAAGAAUCAAAAAACAUUUACUGUUACAAUAUUAAUCCUACUAGUGUCUUUUGUAGUUUAUAAAGUCUAAUAAAAUAAGUGUCAUUCAUAACUCAAGGCGGAGACUGAGGAUUAACAGAGUUAAGUUCUCUUAAAUUUCUUGCUUCAUUUGGGAAGUGACAAAAGUACUAAUUUAAGAUAGACUCAUAGAUCAAGGAUCCAUGCUGAAAUCUUAGGGUAACCACAGAAAGGAUUACAAAUAAAUGUAUAAUUUAAAGCCAAUAGGAGAGAAAAACAUAAAAACAUAACAAGAUAGCUCCCUCAAAAAAGAAAGCAAAGAGAAAUAGCAGAAUCAAACAGUAAAUAGACCACAAGGUCACCAUGGCUAAUAUAAAAUUGUAUUUCUUUCUGCCAAAGCAUAUAAUCACAGUUCCUAAUCCAUCACCCACCUCAUGUCCUGCAUUCAUCUCAGCCUGGUAGAUGAGUGUUUUUAUGCUAAACACAAAAAAGAGGAUUCCUCUUUCCCAGCCACUCAGCUGUAAACUUCAUUGUCAGAGGCGUCAACACUAAGAUAAUCUCUGGCCAAACUUUCCUCUCAGCAUCCAUUUUUAAGUGUUGAUCAUAGAUAAAACAGGAAAGACGAGAACAGAAUAAAAUAAACACACUGUAUUAGUUAGGUCUCUUUAGUUUAUGCUGCAAUAACAACCCUG